AUUCUACUCCCUCCAUUGCACAAUACAUGCCUUCUAUUUGUCAAAAUAUAUAUGUAUCUAGACAUGUUUUAGUAUAUAGGUACAUCCAUUUUUGGACAAAUGGAAGUCAAGUAUUUUGGAACGGAGGGAGUACACA
rfam:Triticum aestivum genome assembly, contig: Triticum_aestivum_CS42_TGACv1_scaffold_504070_6BL